CCGGAAGCUAUGCAUCCUCAAAGGUAUAUUUCCGCGAGUGCCAAAGAAGAAGAUCAAGGGAAAUCAUCAGACAUAUCAUAUCACACGAAAGAUAAUAUGGUUCCUCAGCUCCUUCGCACUUGUCACCUUGUUGACAAUGAAGCGGAAGGCUAUGUCCCUGAUCCUGAAUAUGCUAAGACCAUCAAACGGCUAUAGGCCUCUGCAAGAAAAGAAGUCCUCCCAAUGCAAGGUGUUGGCAAAGAGGAUUUGGAUGAUGAUCAUCAGAAUUUACUAGUGGAGGGUAUUAUUGACCGUGCUGAAGCUAUUGAAGCUGCUAAGAAAAAGCAAAAGCCCACCAUUUGAAGCUGUGUUGCAACGAUGCCCGACAUGUUGCUAUAGGCCAACCCAAUAUUUUGCGUCAUAUAAUUCAGAUGGGCUCCGCAUACUGAAAACGAGGGAUCAAAAUCGGAAAAAUAAAAAAAUUAGGCGGGAAAGCUAGCCGUUAAUACACAAACACCAAAAUCUGGCGCCAAAAUCCCAAUUCCCCCUCGGUUUCAGCUGCCCUCCUGCCCAAUAUUUUCACGGGCAGCCCUCUUUUCCCUCAAAAAUCUUUCCCAAUUAGUAUUUCGCAUUCCUGUCAAUUCCCUCCCUUUUUUGGUAAAUCUAUGUAUUUUAUAGCGCUGCAAGAAAAUAUAUAAGAGAGCAGAUAUAUGGCUACUAGUAGUCGUAGUACUAGACGAGCUCAAAAAUUAUGCAGCGGUGAAUAAAAUUUCAAGUCCAUGUUCCCUUUCUCUUUCUUCAUUCUGACUCCAUUUUUGCAUUCCUUUUGCCCCCAAAAAAACCUAUCUUUUCUCUCACCCUUUGCUCCCCAGAAUUCUUCUUUCCUCCUCCCAAUUCAAAAAGCUCAUCCUUUUAGCACCCAAUCUUGAAAAAAUGGGGUUUUCCAAGAAGCUUCAAGUAGACGGCGGCAAGGAAUCGGAGGGGACGAAAUGGGUAUUCGCCGAAAUCGCGAUUUGUGCUCCUCUCAACUCCAUAUCUACUAAGCCCAAGGAGGGAAACAACGCUUACCAUUCCGAGUCCGACGAAGACCGCGGCUCCACGACGCCGACGUCCAGGGAUUCCAGAAUACCGGAGAGGCUGCCCUGCCCGCCGGCGCCGAGGAAACGCCGCCCGGCGUCCUCUUGCCGGUACAACGGUGCCCGGGAGUUCUUUGAUCCGCCGGACCUCGAAUCCGUAUUCAUACGCCACGUGGAGCGGGCCAACUGAUUAGCAAGAGUGAUGAAUGUAGCUCCCAGGCGGCCAGGCUCUUAUGUUCUGUUCUUCUUGGUUUCAUUUCUCAGAUUGUAGCAUUUGAGCUUAAGCUUUGAGAUUAUGUAAUAUACAACACCCUACCAUGUAGUUUAGUAUAUUUACUCCUUUCAAGAAAAACAUUAUCAAAAUUUUCUAAGAUUAUCUUUGUUAGCU